UACAGAGGGGGGCGAGCGUUAUUCGGAAUUAUUGGGCGUAAAGGGCGCGUAGGCGGCUUUUCAAGUGACGGGUGAAAUCCCUCGGCUUAACCGAGGAACUGCCUGUCAGACUGGAAGGCUUGAGACCGGGAGAGGUGAGUGGAAUUCCCAGUGUAGCGGUGAAAUGCGUAGAUAUUGGGAGGAACACCAGUGGCGAAGGCGGCUCACUGGACCGGAACUGACGCUGAGGAGCGAAAGCAUGGGUAGCAAACAGG
rnacentral:rRNA from 1 species